CCUACGGGUGGCAGCAGUGGGGAAUAUUGGUUAAUGGCCGCAAGCCUGACCCAGCAACGCCGCGUGAAGGAUGAAGGCCUUAGGGGUGUAAAAUUCUUUUUUCAGGGACGAAGAAAGCGACGGUCCCUGAGGCAUAAGCCACGCCUAACUACAAGCCAGCAGUCGCGGCAAUACGUAGGUGGCAAUCGUUAUCCGGAUUUAAUGGGUGUAAAGGUCGUGUAGGCGGGACGGCAAGUCAGCUGUGAAAACCCCGGGCUCAACCUAUGGCCUGCCUUUGAAACUGGAAUUCUUGAGUAAUGGAGAGGUAGACGGAAUUCCCGGUGUAGCGGUGAAAUGCGUAGAUAUUGGGCGGAACACCAGUGGCGAAGGCGGUAUGCUGGACAGACACUGACGCUGAGGCGCGAAAGCGUGGGGAGCAAACAGGAUUAGAUACCCCUGUAGUC
rnacentral:rRNA from 1 species